UGUCCCUGCCCAUGGCAGCGGGUUGGGACCAGGUCUCUGAAGUCCCUUCCAACCUGUGCCCUCUGUGACACCCUGAGUGCCAGGUGGGCUGAGAGUGCUGAGCCCCAGUGAAACCACCUGAGGCUGCUGUUCCUUUGGCCCCUCCAGGCCCCAGUUUGGGACAGAACACAGGCCUGGUGACACCAGCAGGACUCCUCCCCGUUAGCUGCUUCUGGGGCUCUGCCCAACCACCGUGGGUGUCGUGGCUGGAGGGGCUCCUGCACGGGGGGGGGCUCCUGUGGUGGGAGCAGGAGGCUCCGUCCAGGGCUUUGCUCAAGGCUGGUGCACGUGGUCAGAUAUCCCCAGGGCCUUGUGGCAGUAUUCAGGGACCUGCUUUGGUGGUGCUGAUAAAGAUGGCUUCUUCCAGGGUUCUCAGGCAAGCUGCUGAAAAUGUCAAAGAGUUUGACAUCAACAGUUUGCUCCUGCUCAUACUCUUACCUUGCCGUAUGCCUUGAUGGGGACUCCCAGAUGGGGACUGCCUGCUCAGGUUGUGUUUGAAAGCACUGCCUCGCGAUUGGCAUGGUUAGCUGUGUACCUCCAGCAUGGGUAACUUCCAUGUGCCCAUGGGGGCCACCAUCCGUGGUAAAAUAUCCAUGGGGGUAAAAAUAUCCUGCCAUGGGAGUAAGAAUAUGACAGGGAAAAUGCUUAAAACUAUCAGAAAAAACACUUUAAUGAGCACUUUUGCGUUGGAGUUGGGAGACUGGUAAGGAGGCAUACAGGGAGUCCUCACAACAGAACAAAAUGUUUUCUCUUUGAGGACAGGUUCCCCAGAUUUUCCACACAGCCUCUCUGGGUAUAUGGGAAACAAGCACGCUCUCCCAGGAUCACAGAGCAUUAAGGGUUUAAUAGGAGCAUGGAGACAAUGGAGAAUGUUGUUAAAUUAUACUUUUUCUUCAAGCAUCAGCUGUGCUGAUGCCAGGCAGGUCUCAGCUCCCUCUCAUUGACCUGCUGGAGUCCAGCCAGCUGUAUGCUGUGAUGAAGAGGAGCAGCUCUAAAAAAGCCAAACACCAGAGCCAUGCUAAACUUUCCAUGAUAAACCUGAGGAAUAAACUGGUGAGAUACUUGCCCUUGUUUGUACAGUAAUGAUAGAAAGAAUAUUAAUUGAAAAAGCUUUGCUAAAAUGGAAAAAUAGCUUGGGGCUCCUGGCCAGCAACUAAUCAGAAUGGAUGCUUUAGCACAAACUGAUGUUGUUGCAGGUUUUUUUCUCCUGCUAACCUGCUGUUGUGUUUAUGUUGUUGAGAAGUCUCCUCUUUGGAGGGGUCUUUAUAUAGAGAUCUGAGAGCAGGCUGCAGCUAAAGCUGUGCCAGCUAAUGAAACUCAUUGAAGGAGGUGACCUAGGCUUGGAAGUUGCUUCGGUAACAAAUACUCUCUUAGAAAUGUGCUGAACUUGUACUAUGAAGAGCUUCUGGCUUUGAGCAGAUUUUGAUACUGUGAAGCAUAAAUUCAGUAUCUAACAUUUAAUCUAAUUAUCCUAGUUUCUUACAUUGAUAAUGAACUUUGGGGCACUCUGUAAUUAAGUAACCAUUAAUAAACUUUCCCAUCAGUAUUGCAUUAGAAUAAGCCAUUAUGGAGUCAGUUUCAGCAGGUGUAGAAAUCUCAGAAUAAAUAAAGAUGAUAGAAAAUAAAUAAAAAGCAAGCUAUUCCAUGUGUUUCUGCUUAGUUCUUAGGGAAGGGCUUUGUAAUCGACCUACAUAUCACCAUUAGAGAUUCAAUUACCUGUAAUUGCUACCUUUAAAAGCGCUCCUUUGUUUAGAAAACAAUAUAUAGAUGGAUUUUGUCAUGGUGCACAAGUUGUGAAUUGAUUUGAGUUUUGUAAUCUAAAGUGGCACAAGAAAAAUACCUUGUACUCCUAAAUCUUCAAGGCAGAGGCCAAACUGCUCCCAGUUAAACUGGAGUGAGUCAAAAGCGUUCCACCAAGAUUUAUUACAUUAUUUUUGGAUUUCUAGGCUUGCAAUUCAUCACAGAAUUUGUCCCAUAACACAUAAUAGGUAAUAACAAUUAUUUUGUAUAGAAAGCAAACAGAAAGCAGGGCUCUUAAUCAAUUUAAAUGCUAAAAGCUUCAAAGCUCUUCCCAUGAUUACUCUGGAUUUACAUUGCAGUUUUUGUGCAGAAGGAUGAGAUCCUUCUUAUUUAUUGGCACGACAAAACUUUCCUUAAUGAUGCUUAAGGCUGCUACGUUACAUACCUCAUCUGUGAAGUCAAGGGGAAAGUCUUCAUCAAUAACCAUUAGCUUAAUAUCACCUCUAUCCCAGACAAAAAGGCACUCUGAGUUCCCAGCUUUACUGAGUUCCUGUGUAACUUGAUUUCAUGUUAAUACUACUGGGUCACCAUGAAAGUUUUGCAAUAGGUUGCAACUUUAUUAGAAUAUAUUUAAGAAUGGCAAUAAAUAACAGGAAAAUAUAAGGAUCAGAAGUCAGCAGUUUUUUAUGUAGUUGAAGAAAUGACUUGUACUGACAUGCCCACAUAGAAUAUACAUCAUUACAUUUCCCAGCCAGGAAAAAAAAAAAAAAAAAAAAAAAAAAAAAAGAUACUGUAAAGAUUAAGCCUCCACUAUAAAUGCUUUUUAUUAUUUUUGUAAAAGUUACAAACAGCCAAAAAUAUGACUCGGUAAUGAAAUUGCUGACAGGCGUUAACUACAGCACAAGAAUGCAAUGGUAUAAUACAGUUGUGCCAAGCUACAUUACAUUGCUGCAGUGAUUAAUUCACUGCUGGUUUUGCUGAAGCUGUGCUCUGCAGAAACAUCCGUGGGCCUGCUUAAUCCGUAUCUGAGAGUGUGAGAGGGAUAAGCACUGAGUAAGCACCGAGCAGAACUGCAGCAUGGUAGAGGACCCCUUUUGUAACACUGCACCACUUAAUAACAUAAACAGGAAUGGGAGUCAUUAGGAGGUUUGUAUAUAAUUAUUUAUGGACUAAAGGGGCAUGGUUCUUGCUAAGGCUCAUUUCUGCAGCUCCCAGACUGCUCCAACCCAACAGCCAGGGAUACUUUUGCUAGCUGGUAAUCCUAAGCCAAUACAGCGAGCUCUAAAUGCUCCCUUUUGUACUUCAGUUGUUGGGGUACCAAUUACAGCACAACCGCAUAGCUAUGGCAUGAUUUUCUAGGGCAAAAGCACAUCAGAACAGGCCAGAAAAUGCUCCCUGCAAUGAAGCCCAAACUGAUUUCCAAUGGACACCAAGAGCAGAGUCCAAUGAGAGCCUAGCACUGCCUCCUGCCCACCCAGCCCAUUUAAAGCAAAUAUUUUCAUAGCCAAGGGUUUAUUUUACAGCCCGUGAAGGGUUUAUACCUGUUAAAAAUAGUCGAUUCACACAUCUAUUGCCAAAUGAAAUUGAAGGUUAUUACUGGUGCUUGUCAGAUGGAAUCCCUUGGAAGAAGUCUUUUAUUAUUAUUGUAAUUUUUGUCAUUUGUUUCUGUUGUUACCUGCUCUAAUGUACAUUUUCCAUGUGUUCCCUUUCAGCAUUGUAUUAGAUAUCUACUUAGGUAUAUCCCAGUUUUUGAAAAAUAUGGAGAUUUUCACCUUUGUUCAGUUCCAGGAGAUGACCAAUUUUCUAAAUCUGUCAAAAAUAAUAAUAAUAAUAAUAAUAAUAAAAAUAAAUCCUGAUGCCAGACCUGGCAAUAUCACUUGGCUCAUUACAUGGACUAGCUUCAUUAGCAAAAAUCUAAAGGAGCUGAACCUUUUCAAUACCAUUGUAAGUGUGAAUAGAACAGUGAUGAUGCAAUUAGCUUAAUUAAAGUUAAUUAACACAUGUAUUCAAGGUAAGAAGGCUGUGACAAUGGGCGAAUACAACGGAGACUUGAAGAAACAAAAGUUCAGACCCUCUUAGCUUGUGUACGCUGCUGUAGCUGCCUACCAGUCACUGGAGUUUUGCUGGUUGCUGCCCACUGAGGCUGAGGUUUGGGUCUGUUACAGGAGGACCUGGAGGGUUUGGUUCCCAGUUCCUAAUAUUUGUGUAAGGAGUUUACUGGUCCUUCAUAAAUUAAUAUUUCUUUGAAUGAAUUAAUAUUUCUUUUUAGCUAUUCUAAAUUGUUGUAUUCAUGUAAUUAAAAUGGAAGCAGUGUCGUAUGACUAGCUGACCAACUACAGAGAACAGGCAAUUAGCCAACAUGGAAGGCCUGAAGCUAAUAUAUUGAUGUGAAAGCAUUUACCUGUGCCCUUGUCAGGCAGUACAAUUACGAAUACGUAUGUCAAAUCUGGGGUCAGCUCAGAAGCAGAAAUGUGUGUUACAUGUACAGGAAAAAGUCUGUAAAAGUAGCUGCACGGAACGGAUGCGUAUGUGAAUAUAUCUGCUGAUAACUUUUUCAUGGUGUUGGCAAAUGAAAGCACAUUUGAUUUGAAGCUUCUCAAUGUGGAGGAAUUUCAAGAGAUUGCUUGAUUUUUAUAAAGGGUUUCUGCACACAUGUGCACGCACACACAUUUUUUGGCAAGUUCUCCUGAGCUGUCUCCAUAUUCCAUCUGGCAGGGUUCAAGCCACAAGCCUUUUCUUUUUUGUGAGUGUGCUGCUGUAUUGUGGUUUGUUAACUCAAACUUUGAAAAAACCCUAAGCUGUGCUAAUGAUGCCAAUCUGGCCGCUGCCCUGCCAGUUUUUUUGCAGUUUUCCCUUAACCCUGAGCUGUGUGCCAUGUGUGAGGGGUGGCUAUGCAUCAACUCUCCUGCAAAACACUGGGAAAUCUGUUAAUUACUUUGCUCCUUAAUAAAGUGAUGUGCUAGAGCUGAGUGAGGUUACAAUAAAGCAGUUCAACAUAGCAAGAUGAGUCUAAGAUGCGUUUGCAUCUUGAAAAUAUUCUGAGCACUUGAAAGAGCAGGAAUAUGACAGAGGAGAGAUGGUGUUGAACUGGAGAGGCUUUGGGAAAAUACCUGACACGUCGUACUGCCUGGCCCAUACCAAAACCCAAGAGUUUGUCCUGGGACUGCAUUCAUCAGCCUCAUUUUCUUCUGACACAAACUAUUUAACAGGAUCCAGAGAGUCAAGCAGUGUCAGUGCGUUAUUCCUGUCUGUGGAAAGGUACCCCUUCUCUGAUUGACUGAUUAUGGCAAAAAGGAAAAAUCAUAUCCACCAAAUGCAUCAGAAUAAGACAUAAAACAGACAUAAAAAUGUCAGUUUAUUAUGUCAUCGCAGACACCAGCAGGAUUUGCCAAGCAGCCGCAUGUCACAGGUAUCUGCGAGGAUUAGCGAUUCUGGAUCAGUCACCCAGAAAUAAUGCGGAAAGCCCUGACUUGGCUUCUGAGUUCAGCACAAUUACCUUGCAGAGCAACCCGGAGUGGUUUGGAAAUCCUUGGAUGUUUAGGAACCGAAGGGAGAGGAGGGCAUUUUGCUCACAUUUCAGGAUGUUCAGCUUCACUUCUUCACCUUCCCACGGCUGCCCUGGCCCCUUGCACACCAUCUCCCCCUUCUCCGCUUCCCAGGCUGCAGCAGUUAAAAGUUAUUAUGACAAGGACAUUGCUCCAAGUGCCUCUGGAGGUUGUAAAAUAGACUAAUUGUGAAGUAUGUAAACAUCAAUGAUUGACUAUUAACCCACCCAUUAAAGACAGAAAACAAUUUAUACGAUGUAAAGAAGGGUAAUGCAGGAUGGAUUUUCCUUCUGUGCUGAGUUAGUCAGCAAUCACGAUGUAAGUUGACUUUUGUUGUCCCUUAUGCAGUAAAGUUCAGCCUUUGAUAACUUAAAAAAA